rnacentral:rRNA from 1 species
AUUAAACGCUGGCGGCAGGCCUAACACAUGCAAGUCGAGCGGAUGAGUGGAGCUUGCUCCAUGAUUCAGCGGCGGACGGGUGAGUAAUGCCUAGGAAUCUGCCUGGUAGUGGGGGACAACGUUUCGAAAGGAACGCUAAUACCGCAUACGUCCUACGGGAGAAAGCAGGGGACCUUCGGGCCUUGCGCUAUCAGAUGAGCCUAGGUCGGAUUAGCUAGUGGGUGAGGUAAAGGCUCACCAAGGCGACGAUCCGUAACUGGUCUGAGAGGAUGAUCAGUCACACUGGAACUGAGACACGGUCCGGACUCCUACGGGAGGCAGCAGUGGGGAAUAUUGGACAAUGGGCGAAAGCCUGAUCCAGCGACGCCGCGUGGGUGAAGAAGGCCUGCGGGUUGUAAAGCCCUUUCGGUGGGGAAGAAAAGCCUCGAGCUAAUACCUCGGGGUCUUGACGUAACCCAUAGAAGAAGCACCGGCUAACUCUGUGCCAGCCGCCGCGGUAACAC